AAACAAGAUUUCUGGAAGCCAUCUGCCAAACAUCACAGUGGAGUGUGGGAGGGAAAGAGCAAGUGAAAGUGAACUACAUGAAAUAUGGGGGGGAAGAGACUAAGGACUAUGGGGAUGUUGUGAAGUUGAACCAGUGUAGCCCGGCUUACUGCAGAGGAAGCAGGACUUGUGGAAGCUCCUUCCAUUGCACUGGAUUUCCUCAGCGUGGUACACGGUCUUUUCACAGGCACCACAUUUGGCUCCACCCCCCCAGUUUGGCAUCCCUGUCUCUGAGAGAAUGAAAUGAACAAUGUCUACAUGCCAGCUCUGCAGCCUGAAGGGAAUUCUUUCUGACGACUAACACCAAAAAUCCUACAAUGGUAUAAGAAUCUGUCCAGCAAAAGGAAGGUGUCAUGAGAGUGUGUGCACACACUGAAGCCACAGCACUGGAGACAUGGCAAUGUGAGCAGGUUUUACAGUCAGUGUUUGAUAACAGUGCAGGUACCAGCACAUCCAAACCUCUCUGCUUUAGCACAGCAAUGAUUAGUAUCUCUUUAACCCCGUGUAAUUAAAUAGUCACUAUUGUGACUGGUGCCUGUGGUAGACAGCAC